rnacentral:rRNA from 1 species
CCACUGUAAACCGACACAGGUGGGUGAGUCGAGGAGACUAAGGCGUUCGAGAGAACUCUCGUUAAGGAACUAGGCAAAUGAGCCCCGUAACUUCGGGAUAAGGGGCGCCAGCGCAAGCUGGCCGCAGCGAAGCAGCCCAGGCGACUGUUUACCAAAAACACAGGUCUCUGCUAACACGAAAGUGGAUGUAUAGGGGCUGACGCCUGCCCAAUGCCAGUAGGUUAACAGGAGAUGUCAGGAGUAAUCCGAAGCAUUGAAUCGAAGCCCUGGUGAAUGGCGGCCGUAACUCUAACGGUCCUAAGGUAGCGAAAUUCCUUGUCGGCUAAAUACCGACCCGCAUGAAAGGCGUAACGACUUGGGCACUGUCUCAACGAGAAGCUCGGUGAAAUUGUAGCACCCGUGAAGAUGCGGGUUACGCGCAGUAGGACGGAAAGACCCCGUGGAGCUUUACUACACCCUGUCACUGCGAAUUGGGUGUAGAUGUAGAGAGUAGGUGGGAGCUUAGGCACCAAUGGAACACCACCCUUCUACAUCUGGUUCGCUAACCGUCACCAUUAUCUGGUGACGAGACAAUGACAGGCGGGUAGUUUGACUGGGGCGGUCGCCUCCCAAAAGGUAACGGAGGCGCCUAAAGUUGCACUCAGGCUGGUUGGAAAUCAGCCGUCGAGCGUAUAGGUAUAUAGUGCGAUUGACUGCGAGACAAACAGGUCGAGCAGGGACGAAAGUCGAGCUAAGUGACCCUCUGGUGGUGCGUGGGCACGCCAGGGUUCAUCGGAUAUAAGCUACCCCGGGGAUAACAGGCUGAUCUUGCCCGAGCGCUCACAGCGACGGCAUGGUUUGGCACCUCGAUGUCGGCUCGUCUCAUCCUGGGGCUGUACACGGUCCCAAGGGUUCCGGAGUUCACGGAUUAAAGAGGCACGCGAGCUGGGUUCAGAACGGCGUGAGCCAGUUCGGUCCCUAUCCACUGCGCGCGGAGGAAAUUUGAGAGGACUCGCUCCUAGUACGAGAGGACCGGAGUGAACCGACCUCUGGUGUACCUGUUGUGCCGCCAGGCGCAUACGCAGGGUAGCCACGUCGGGUCGUGAUAAGCGCUGAAAGCAUCUAAGCGCCAAGCACACCUCAAGAUGAGAUUUCCCAUCGAAAGAGUAAGGCCCCCGGAAGACUACCGGGUUGAUAGGUCGCAGGUGUGAGCGCAGUAAUGUGUUAAGCUGAGCGAUACUAAUUGGCCGAGGGCUUAA